CAAAAACAAACGUUAUGCCUUUAAUCGUGCAUUUCCAAAUAAACACAUAUUUUAAGUAAUUCCGAAAUUUACCACGAUCUCCCAUGAAUCCGAACUUGCAGCUUGUUAUGGAGCUUCAACAGAGUUGCUGCUGCUUCGGUCUAGCUUCUGAAUUCCGCUUUCUUUUCCUUAGCUCAAGGAUCGGCUUGCUUCAAAAUUUACUGUGCACACACACGGGAGACAAGAGAGAGAGAGAGGUGCACUGCACUCAUGCCACUAAUUUUUCGAACAGUUAACUUCCAAUGAGCUGAAGUUACUUAAAUACAGCGGUUGAGCGCAGGGACCCCUCAUGUGUUAGUAUAAAAUUGCCCAUCCCAUUAUGGGCGAAAAUAACACAAUUAAGGAUAUACUUGUCCAUAAUAUACUACUGUACAUGGUAUGUCAAAAUUGCUCAACAAUAUUUGACUUUAGUCACGUAUUAAUUCGGUAAAAUAUAGAAAAUAAUUAGAAUGAUUUAUGUCAGUCCACAUAAUGUGAGAAAUAAAUCUAACAAUCUCCCACUUGGACGACAGAAAUCACUCUAAUGAUAAAUUUAAAAUAAAAUAAUAUUUUGAAAACAACCGAAUUAAUCAAUAUGUGACUAUAACAAAAGGUCAAAUACAAGCAAUCACCCAAAACAUAAACAAGUCCAAAAUGUGCCAUAAAUAUCAAAUCAUAUGUGCACCGACAGGAUGCUCCAUAUAACAAGACACUUAUAAACACGUGACCAUGUAGUAGUAUACAAGUAUAAUUAUGGAAAUAACAUGACAAUGUGAUCAACAUGCUUGUUGAGUGUUAGAAAAUACAUAUUUAUAAAGGAGAAAACCAUCAUUUUACAUUUCAAGUCUUACUAACAACUCUUACUUUUAUGUAUUUAACCUUCUUGUGAUGUAAUUACGCGUGUGUUAUUUUAAUUAAGUAUUUUAUGUAUUUUAGGGGUAUUAUAGUCAUUUCACAAUAAAGGAGAGAUCAGAUGGCAAAACGGACAUCACUUUUGAACUCAGGACGGUCGAAAACCUUAGGAGGGGCAUAAAAGGAAAAAUGGCACUAUUCACAUGUACGGUACUAUUCACGUAUACGGUACUGUAUAUGUUACUGUUCACGGCAUUGACCGAUGAUGUGGCAUUGACUGAUGAGGUGUCACGAUCCUGUUGGACUAAAAUUCUUAUGUACUGUUGAUGGUAAAUUUCUUAUGUACUGUUGAUGGUGACGUGGCAGCAUAUCAGUGGACGAAAAAUCUCGCGUACGGUGCAUGCAUCACACAGGAUUAUUUUCAACUAAACCGCGUUACUGUUCAUCCGGGUCAAACCGUGUUACUGUUCAUCUGCGUGGUCAAACCGUGGACUGUUGACUGAUGACGUGGCGCAAUCCUGAGCGUCCAAACUGUUUUUAAUCCGAUGGCCAUGAUUUACUCCAUGUAUCUAUAAAAAGGGGGCCUCCCCCCCCUAAUUUGAUAUCUCUGAAUCCAUUUUUGGGAUCCAUUUUCUGUAAUUCCUUCUCCAUCUUGUAUUUUCUUUGUAUUUUAAUAAAUUCCCUUUUUGCCCCUAGUUCAAUUAUGAGUGGCUAAUUUUCUUUCAAGCUUGGGUUGAAGGUGAAGUCUCAACAUGUGUCAUGGGCUUUAUUUGGUAAAUUUAUUUUCUUUUCCCCUCUAGUUUUUGUGGAUGAUUUGACUUAUCGUCGACAAAUAAUACUGAUCUUGUCUAGAUACCGCCUUGGUUACACCGGCUCUCUAGUAUAAGGUUAUUAUUAUUUGGCACGAUAAGCCCUUAACACCAUAUUGAUUAGAGCGUGGUUCAUGAGGUGUGGAUUCCCCCCUCAUGAUUUAAUUGGCAUUAAUACGGAUUAUUUAGCCCAUGAUGCAUGUUGAUACGGAUCCAGAUACCCAAGUACGUCAUUUCAAUAGAAUUCUCUUCAAUUUAUUCUCGCCAUUUCAAUUCCAAUUUCAGAAUUUAUUCUCACCAUUUUAAUUUAAGUUUUAGCAUAUUCCAAAUCAUUUCCACCACAGAUCCAAUCAACCAUUUGCAAAAUUAAUUCUAUACACAAUUAAAAUCCACCUCCUCGUGGGAUCGACACUCGUCACCAUUGAUCUAUACUACAAUAGAUUCGUGCACUUGCGAGUACAUUAAAAUUUGCACAACAAGUUUUUGGCGCCGUUGCCGGGGAGGUAAGUAAUUUUAAUUCAUAGAAUUAAUUUUUGUGAAUAAUUUCUUUUAUUUUGUUUUCUUGUAUUUUUUUUAUAAAAAAAAAAAAGUUAAUCUACAUUUAAAGGUUAGUAUUUCUUUUCUUUUUCUCUUCUUUAAAAAUUCUGUAAUUUAAUUUUCAAUUUAUUUUUUCUUUGUAAUUUUUGUUUAUUUUAUUCAUUUAAUUUUUAGUUAAUUUAUUUCACGUAUUUGUUUUUGUGUAUUUUUAUAGAAAGGUUGUAAUAGCGCAAUAAGGUUAGUAUCGUAAUUUCUCCCUCUUCUUUAUUUUUAUUUGUUUUGUUCCCAUCUUUAUUUUUAUUUUAUUUGUUUUGCAUGCAUGGUCGUAGGUCAUUAUUACCUAAUCUUGAACCUAUAGACCUUGAAUUAGAAAAAACACUUCGCACACAAAAGCACAUUAAAAAUAAAUUUGGAAUGGAUUUACAAGCACCACAGGAGAGGCCAUUUAAGGACUAUUUUAGUCCCUUAGCUAAUUUGAGCACAUCAUGCAUAAGAUACCCAAAUGUAGCUGCUAGGAGUUUUGAAUUAAAACCUAGUGUGCUAAAUUGUCUCCCCACAUUUUAUGGCUUAGAAAAUGAGGACCCAUAUAAUCAUCUGAAUGAUUUUCAUGCCAUAUGUCAAACUUUUAAAUACGAAAAUUUUUCAGACGAUGAUGUAAAACUUAGAUUAUUCCCAUUUUCUUUAAAAGAUAGAGCUCGUUCAUGGCUUAAUACAUUGCCUGCUAAUAGCAUUGCAUCAUGGGAACAAAUGGUUACAAAAUUUCUAAAUAAAUAUUUCCCAGUGCAUAAAACCAAUUCUAUUCGCAGGGAAAUUUCAGAGUUUACACAAAGAGAGGACGAGCAGUUUUUCGAAACUUGGGAGCGAUUCAAUGGACUACUCUUGAAGUGUCCACAUCAUGGGUACGAGAAAUGGCACCAAUGCCAAUACUUUUUGGAGGGAUUAUUGCCGAAUGUGCAAGAAUGGCUAAUGGCAACAAGUGGAGGAGAGCUAAUGUCAAAAAGUGCAUAAGAGAUUUGGGAAUUCUUCCAGCGACAAGCGGAUAAUUCCCAACAACGGAGUCGAUCACUCAGGAAUACUAGAAGAAUUAAAGGAGUAAAUGAGGUUCACAUUGGCGAGUCAAGUUCAGAAAUCAAAGAAGUCAAGGAGAUAAUUGAAGGUCUCUCUCGACAAAUAGCAUCGUUAUCAACUGCUAAAUCAACAGAGCCACAUGACCAUGACACAUACUCAGAUCAAGCCAAUGCCAUAGGUGUAAUGAGAAAACCAUCAAAUUACAACCCAUACUCCAACACAUAUAACCCUGGGUGGAGAGACCACCCCAAUUUUUCAUGGUCUCAAGGAUUCCAACAGAAUGGACCAGCAGCUCCAGCUCCACAAAUUCCUCAAGUUCCUCAAGCCUCUCAGCCACCAUUCAAACCAUACAAUCAGAACCAGAACUACUCUCAACCCAGACCAUGGGAGGAUUCAUUCCAGAAUCUCAAGAAUGCUACUCACUCUACGAUUGAGCAACAGAAUCGCACCAUUGAUGGACUACGAAAUGAGUUGAGAGCGGGCUUCAAUUCACAAGCCCAAUCAGUUUCAAGCCUCGAGAAGAUGGUGGGACAGCUUGCUUCUUCAGUUCAGACCUUGGCAAUGACUGUUGAGAAAGGCAAGUUUCCGAGUCAACCAGUGCCUAAUCCUAAAGGAGUGCAUGAAGCAAGUACCAGUUCACCACAGCAGCAUGGAGAGGUCAAAGCAGUAAUGACCUUGAGAAAAGGAAAAGAAGUCGACAAUAAAGUGGAGAUGCCGGUGAUAAAAGAAAAUCAAAUUGUACCUGUAAAUGUUGACGACUCAUCACCGGAGGAGAAAGAAGAAACCAACCCACGAGAAUACAUUCCGAAAGCUCCAUUUCCUCAGAGGUUAGCGAAAGGAAAAAAGGGAAAAUCCACAGGUGAGAUUCUUGAAAUCUUCAAACAGGUAAGUGUUAACAUCCCUUUGCUUGAUGCUAUAAAGCAAGUUCCAUCUUAUGCUAAGUUUCUUAAAGACCUUUGUACUAAAAAGAGAAAUAUGCAUGUUCAAAAGAAGGCAUUUUUAACAGAAAAUGUUAGUUCUAUACUCCAACAUAAAAUUCCUCUAAAAUGCAAAGACCCAGGCUCCCCCACUAUCUCAUGUAGUAUAGGGAACCACACAAUUGAGAAUGCUUUGUUGGAUUUAGGAGCUAGUGUAAAUCUGUUGCCUUAUUCAGUAUUCGUGAAACUUGGACUGGGAGAAUUACACCCAACUCCAGUGGUGUUACAGCUUGCAGAUCGGUCCACGAAAAUACCUCGUGGUAUUGUGGAGGACGUGCUUAUCCAGGUAGACAAGUUUUAUUUUCCUGUUGAUUUCAUUGUAAUUGACACUCAACCAAUACAGGACUCAAGGAAGCACAUCCCCAUUAUUCUAGGCCGACCUUUCUUGGCAACUGCGGAUGCUCACAUUCAAUGCAGGACUGGAAAUAUGCAGUUGUCCUUCGGCAACAUGACUAUGGAGCUUAACAUCUUCAACAUUGCCAAACAACCUCACAGUGCAGAUGAUGGAAUUGUUGAUGUGGAUUUAAUAGAAACAAUAGUUGAUAAUACUUUUCUUUCAAACCUUAGUGAUGAUCCUUUACAAACAUGUUUAACUCACUUUGGUUUGGAUUUUAAUAUUGACAGAUCGAUUGAUGAGGUCAACGCCCUACUUGACUCAGCACCAUCCAUGGACACUAAUAAAUGGAAGUCAAGAGUUGAACAACUAGCACCAUCAGAGAAGAAACUCAUCCCAUCAUCAGAAUCACCACCGAAGCUCGAGCUCAAACCAUUGCCCAACACUCUGGAAUAUGCGUUUUUGGGAGAAGAAAGCACUCUGCCGGUAAUCAUCUCAUCAUCCCUAAAUGACGAACAAAAAGGUAAGUUGUUGGAUGUUUUAAAAGAGCACAAAGGGGCAUUAGGAUGGACCAUAGCAGACAUAAAAGGUAUAAACCCAGUAGACUGCAUGCAUUACAUUCACCUUGAUGAAAAUGCUAAAACUACUAGGGAAAUGCAACGUCGGUUAAAUCCUAAUAUGAAAGAAGUUGUUAGAACAGAAGUCCUUAAGCUAUUAGACGCAGGUAUCAUUUACCCAAUUUCUGAUAGUUCAUGGGUCAGUCCUGUACAAGUUGUCCCCAAAAAGUCAGGAGUCACAGUAGUUACCAAUGCUGAUAAUGAAUUGAUACCAACUAGAGUAACUACAGGAUGGCGUGUAUGCAUUGAUUAUAGAAAGUUGAAUUCUGUCACACGUAAAGACCAUUUUCCUUUACCAUUUAUCGAUCAAAUGCUUGAUAGAUUAGCAGGCCACGAAUUUUAUUGCUUUCUAGAUGGCUACUCAGGAUAUAAUCAGAUUCCCAUAGCACCAAAAGAUCAGGAGAAAACUACUUUCACUUGCCCUUUUGGCACUUUUGCAUAUAGGAGAAUGCCAUUUGGAUUAUGUAAUGCACCUGCUACAUUCCAACGAUGCAUAUUGAGCAUUUUUUCUGAUAUGGUUGAACGAUUCCUUGAAGUCUUUAUGGAUGAUUUUUCUGUCUUUGGUGACUCGUUUGAUCAAUGUUUACAUCAUCUAACGCUAGUUCUGCAGAGAUGUACCGAGAAGAACUUAGUCUUGAAUUGGGAGAAGUGCCAUUUUAUGGUAAAACAAGGUAUUGUUCUCGGUCACAUCAUUUCGAGCAAAGGUAUUGAGGUUGACAAAGCCAAGGUGGAUCUCAUUUCUAAUCUUCCUCCACCUAAAACAGUCAGAGAAGUAAGAUCUUUCCUUGGGCAUGCUGGUUUCUAUAGACGUUUCAUUAAAGAUUUUAGCAAAGUUUCUAGACCCUUAUGCAAUCUACUUGCUAAGGAUGUAUCUUUUAUCUUUAAUGAUUCAUGUCUAAUGGCGUUUGAAAAAUUAAAGCAGUUGUUGACAUCAUCACCCAUCAUUCAGGCCCCAAACUGGAACUUACCAUUUGAGCUCAUGUGUGAUGCAUCUGAUUAUGCAGUAGGAGCAGUAUUAGGACAAAGAGUUGAUCGAAUUCCCCAUGUUAUUUACUAUGCUAGUAUGACAUUGAAUGAUGCACAGUUGAAUUAUUCAACUACUGAAAAAGAAAUGCUAGCAGUAGUGUUUGCAUUAGAGAAAUUUCGAUCUUAUCUCAUUGGUUGUAAAAUAAUUAUAUUCACAGAUCAUGCUGCUCUUAAAUAUCUUUUCACAAAGAAAGAUGCAAAAGCUAGACUAAUUCGUUGGGUGUUACUUUUGCAGGAAUUUGACUUGGAAUUCAAAGAUAAGAAAGGCACAGAGAAUGUUGUAGCUGACCAUCUCUCUCGCCUCCAUUUUGAUACAAUUAUGGAACCAUUACCAUUGAAUGAGUCAUUUCCAGAUGAACAAUUAAUGAAUGUGGAAGUAUUACCUUGGUAUGCUGAUAUAGUUAAUUAUCUUGUUACAGGUAAACUUCCAGAGCAUUGGACCAAGCAAGAUAAGGCUAAAUUCUUUGCGGAAAUAAAGAAUUUCUUUUGGGAUGACCCGUAUUUGUUCAAGUAUUGUGCAGAUCAAAUUGUUAGACGAUGUGUCCCAGAAAGUGAAAUUCAAAAUAUUCUUUCAUUCUGCCAUGCACAAGCUUGUGGAGGCCACUUCAGUGCUAAGAAAACCGCGACUAAAGUUUUACAAUGUGGUUUUUAUUGGCCAACUAUAUUUCGAGAUGCUUACACUUUCUGUUCUUCAUGUGAUAGGUGUCAACGAAUGGGGAGUAUUACACGAAGGAACAUGAUGCCACUAAAUCCAAUUUUAGUGGUUGAGAUUUUUGACGUAUGGGGUAUCGACUUCAUGGGACCCUUUCCCCCUUCUUUUGGCCAUCAAUACAUAUUGGUUGGUGUUGACUACGUAUCGAAAUGGGUAGAAGCAAUUCCAUGUAGAACCAAUGAUCACAAGGUGGUGAUAGGAUUUUUGAAAAGCAACAUUGUUUCGCGCUUUGGAUUCCCUCGAGCAAUAAUCAGUGAUGGUGGUGCCCACUUUUGUAACAAAGCAUUCAAAGCUCUUUUGACAAAGUAUUCAAUCACACACAAAGUGGCAACUCCGUAUCAUCCGCAAACCAGUGGCCAAGUUGAGAUAUCCAAUCGUGAAAUAAAGCACAUAUUAGAAAAAACGGUGAGGCCAGACAGAAAAGAUUGGUCAUUAAGACUUGAUGAUGCAUUAUGGGCAUAUAGAACGGCUUUCAAGACCCCGAUUGGGAUGUCACCCUACAGGCUAGUGUAUGGAAAAGCUUGCCACCUACCUGUGGAACUCGAGCAUCGUGCAUAUUGGGCCAUCAAGAAAUUCAACUUUGACAUGCAGCAAGCCAGCUCAGAAAGAAGAUUACAGCUGGCAGAACUUGAAGAAAUUCGCAAUGAUGCAUACGAAAAUGCCAAGAUUUACAAGCAACGAAUGAAAGUCUUCCAUGAUAAGCAAAUUAUGAGAAAAUCGUUCACUCCAGGUCAGAAAGUGCUUUUAUUCAAUUCUCGCUUGCACCUAUUCCCAGGUAAGUUACGCUCUCGUUGGUCUGGCCCAUUUAUUGUACAUACUGUUUUUCCACAUGGGGCAAUUGAAAUUAAGGACCCAAAGAACGGUGUCACGUUUAAAGUUAAUGGUCAAAGAUUAAAGCCAUAUCUUGAGUACCAACCACAUGGAGAAGACACCGAAAUAAAUUUGAGUGACCCACCAGAUUUGAAUUGAUUUUUUCUUUUUGUUGAUUUGAUUUUUCUUUCUUUCUUUUUAUUAUUCUUUUGCUAAUUGAAAUUAUUUUUGCAUAAGUGUGUUUGUUUUACCAUUAAGUUUUUUCUUAUCAUUUUUAAUCAUGAGUCUCCUACUUAGACCGUUCCUCCUGAACAUUCUUAAACCACUUCAACGUGUCAAAACUCAUCUCAAAAAGCAGAUUCAAUUUUGUAAAACACAACGCAUUUGGGCUCUACAACCACCAGAGUUAGUAGCCUAUGUUGAGGGUUUAGAACGCCAACUCAGAGACAUUGAGAGAAGUGUUUACGACAUCCAGUUGGAGCUUGAGGUAAAUUCAAUAAGAGGACGAUUUUAAUUUUCUUUGUGUUUUAAUUUGUUUUUCUGUUUGUGUGCUUUAGUUUGUUACCCCGGUGAAGUGGCGGAUAACGGUACUCCGUGACAAUCAAGUCGGUUACUUCAGUUUCCCACAAUAACUGACAUUCUGAGGUGAAAGUAUGGACAGAAACGAGAUUCUAGCGAAGCUUCACAAGCGAUUCCCUUCACUUCCUCAGAAUGCCCUCCUUACGAUCUAUAAAGCCCGGUCUGAACGCAUGCGAUUGCUCAUGAGGAAUAACAUCCUGCAGACAUCCGUUGGUUAAUUGAGGCUAAAGUACGAUCGGCAGGUGAGUUACCUCCAAAAUUUAUUGCAUUCAUGCCUGGUUGUGGUAAAGGAAAUUAUGCAAGAAAACGACGAGCUCGAAGAAUUUCUGUUGCUUGUCAUAAGUGUGCCAGAAUGAGUUGCGAUAGAAACCCAUGUUCUUUAGGAAUGGUGUCUGAUAACAGGGAAGAUAAGAUUCAAUUCAUUAGGGAUGGCUUGAAUAAGGAGUCAUUGGAUGAUAUCCUUUUGUCUCUUGAAACGCAUCCCAGUGGAUAUGUGCAAGGAGCGAUUCUCCAGUUAUGGCCAUUAUUCCAGAAAGAGCAUACACGAUAUAGUCUCGGGAAUCUGACUAUAAACGACCCUGUUUGCCAGUUUAUAAGAAAACUGGAUGGGAAGCCCAUCCUCGACCCAUAGAGGGCGUUCAAGCCGUUUCUGGACGUAAAACCAGAGGAAGAUGUGAGCCACAGUCGCAACUACGUGUAAAUAUCCUUUUACUUUACUGUUAUUUUAUUUCAUUUCACUGUUGUUUUAUUGUUUGCAUUAUUGUCUUUAAUAAUUUUAUUACUGUUUGCUUUUUCCUUUUUACUGUUUCUUUUUUGACUCGCGAGCCACGUGCUUUAUGCGUUAUUUGACACUGACAUGUUACCUCAUUCACAGCUGUGAUCCAUUGUCACCAAGAUUUUUAAAUAUAACUUUUUGUUACGAACUCACAAAUUGUUUUUGAGAAGUAUCACAAUGGCAGCUACUCCCAAUAGACAAUUCAAGAACAUUUGUGUGCUUUCUGGAUUUACCUAUGGCAAACAUAAAGAGUUCGUGGAGGCAGCCAUAGAUCUUGGUCGAAGCAUAGCAGCGAGAAAAUUACACUUGGUGUAUGGAGGAGGUAACCGAGGGUUAUCAAAAAUGGUCUCAGAAGCAGCUUUUAUCAGAGGAAGUCAAGUGUUAGGCAUCAUCCCAAGAGUCCUAAAACCAUUGGGCAGUUCGUCUGACUCAUCAACUGGAGAAGAGUUAGUCGUCUCAGGUAUGCAAGAAAGAAUAACUGAAAUGCUUAAUCAUGCUGAUGCUUUUAUUUUCCUUCCAGGAGAUCUUGCAACACUAGAGGCACUUAUCACACUAGCAUCUUGGGCCCAUCUGCACAUCCACCAGAAACCCAUCGGUUUGUUAAAUGUCAAUAACUUUUAUGAUGGCUUUAUCGCAUUUCUUAACCAUGCAAUAAAAAACUAUUUCAUUCCUUCUAAUGUGAAAAAACUCUUUAUUUGUGCUCACACUGCUAAUGAGCUACUUGAUAUGUUACAAGCUUAUAAACCGGAGCCAGACCCCUGGACCUUUGUGUUGGAGCGACCAAAUAAUGAUGGUAACAGUAGCCGCAGUAAGAAGUACAAAUUAGAUUUAACUCUCCGCCUGUAAAUAUUUUCUUCUGUGUUGCACCACCCAGGUGAUGUCUUCUAAACUCUACUUCUUUCCUUUAAAACAUUGAGGACAAUGUUUCGUUCUGGUUGGGGGGAGGGAAUAGUCGACAAUUGUGGAAUCUUGGUUAAGUUUUUACUGAUUUUUUGUUGUAGAAACUAACUGUUGCUAACAUUUUGUGUUGAAGAUGGCUGAAUAUGGAGUGUAGUGACUCUAGAAACGCAUCUUCAUCGUUUAAAAAAAAAAAAAAAAUUCAGACAUUUUCUUUUUCUUUAUUAUGCGUUUAUGUUUAUUUUUCUUCUUUUUAAUUUCUCCUCUAUAAAUAUACAUUUUCCAACUUUUGAGUCGAAGAUGGCUGAAUAUGGAGUGUAGUUCCUCUAGAAACGCAUCUUCUUAAAAAAAAAAAAAAAAUCAUUUUCGUUUUCUAUCAUUUUACGUGUAACUUUUCUAAUUAGUUUUUAUGCAUCAUUUUCACAUUUCUGCAUGCAUAUUUUCCUUUCAUGUUUAGAAUAGGUUGGGGGUAGAAUGUUGUUAAAAAAAAAAAAAAAAAAAAAAAAAUUUUGUGAUUUGUUUUAACAUUGGAUGACAUGAUUAAUUUCAAAUUUUAGUAUUUGUAUUAUCUUUGGUCUUAAGUGAUGUUACGCUAUGUUUGCUACUUUACAUGUUGAUGUCGGAGACAAAUGUGAGUUGCUUGAAGGAAUGAACAUGUCAUAAUAAGUACCAAGUGAGUUUUUGAGCCUAUUAUUUUUCUUGGAGAAUAACCCUUUUGCCCACUCUUUAUACAGCUUAGCAGUUUAUUAUUUUACACACGAUCUCUAAAUUGCUUUUGAGUUAAAAAAAAAAAAAAAAAAAAAAUUGUAAAAUAAAAAAAAAAGAAGAAGAAAAGAAAAAAAGAGUAUGUUGCUACAUUUGGAGGCCCAUCUAACUAGUAGAUAUGAAAGAUUAUUUAGAGCCCUAAAAGACGAUGGAAAGGCCAUCUUUGAUCCGUUUGAGCCUUUCUAGCCAUCCCUUUUAUUAAAUAUCCAUAGUUAACCCUUUUGAGCCUUUAAAAAAAAAAAAAAAAAAAAAAAAAAAAAAAAACCUUUUUCUUUGUCAACUUAUCAUCUUGACCCACUCCGAUUUGGAGUAUUACCCAAUGUCUUAUAAGUUCCAUCACCUAUUUAUGUUUGAGAAAAUGUAAAUAAUUAUGUUGUUCAGUAAAGUUGUGCCAAAAAAAAAAAAAAAAAAAAAAAACAAAAAAAAAAACAAAACAAAAGUUGUUGUUUCAAAAGAAAAAAAAAAAAGUUGUUGUUUCAAAAGAAAAAAAUAAAAAUAAAAAUAAAAAUAAUAGGUGAAAUCCACCUUGCAACUUCUAAAAAAAAUAUAUUCUUUGCAUUUUUCUCAAACAUACACUUUGUUUUUCUUAUUUUCUUUCUUUGUUAGCCAUAUCCCUAGCCUACGUUACGUCCUAAUAAAAGUCCUUCUUGAUUUUAGGGAACUAUAGUUUGAAGUAGAAGCUAGUUAUAUGGGCUAAAAAGAUGUAGUGAUGCAUAAUAAUAAUAAAAAAAAAAAAAAAAAAAAGAUAAAUAAAGUGGGUUGACUAACAUUUUAUUUGACUUGAGAUCGUAUUAUUUCUAAGCUGAGGGCAUAUUUAUUUCAUCUUGGUGAGAGCAUGUGAUAUCAUUUCUUUAUUAUUUUCUCUCUCAAUUACCAUUCAUUGGAGUGACUAUGUUUAUCGGGUUUUAAUUUCUUUAUGAGAGUGUCACUACUUCCAGUGAGAUUUUGGGGUUUGACAUGUCAUUCUUGAAAGUAGCUAUAACAAAGUCUACUGGGCUAAUUCAUGUGGAUGGUUGAUGUGGGUGUGAUGUUGCUUUAGACUGGAGAUAAUGCUUAUACUUUUAUUUGAUUGCUAUCAUUAAUCUGAUUGAAUAAACACGAGUGUUUCAAAAAAAAAAAAAAAAAAAAAAAAUCAUUUUGAAUUUGAAUUUUGUUUUCGCUUUAUUUGCUAGGGACUAGCAAUAAGCUGGUUGGGGGGUGUGUUGAGUGUUAGAAAAUACAUAUUUAUAAAGGAGAAAACCGUCAUUUUACAUUUCAAGUCUUAUUAACAACCCUUACUUUUAUGUAUUUAACCUUCUUGUGAUUUAAUUACAUGUGUUUUAUUUUAAUUAAGUAUUUUAUGUAUUUUAGGGGCAUUAUAGUCAUUUCACAAUAAAGGAGAGAUCAGAUGGCAAAACGGACAUCACUUUUGAACUCAGGACGGUCGAAAACCUUAGGAGGGGCAUAAAAGGAAAAAUGGCACUAUUCACAUGUACGGUACUAUUCACGUAUACGGUACUGUAUAUGUUACUGUUCACGGCACUGUUCACAUAGACGGAUCGAUGACGUGGCAUUGACCGAUGAUGUGGCAUUGACUGAUGAGGUGUCACGAUCCUGUUGGACUAAAAUUCUUAUGUACUGUUGAUGGUGACGUGGCAGCAUAUCAGUGGACGAAAAAUCUCGCGUACGGUGCAUGCAUCACACAGGAUUAUUUUCAACCAAACCGCGUUA
rnacentral:lncRNA from 1 species